UCCAGCAGACAGCUCCCCUGCCUCUCUGCAGUCAGGGCUGAUGAGGGGUGGGGGGAGCUGGUACAAAUUACCGGGCCUGGCGGUCUGGAGGGGAGCCCCACCAGAGUGUGUGCAUAGGCAACAAUAACACUCCUUCAGAGACAUUCAUUGCUGCCUCUCGGUUUUCAAGCGAGAAGUGAGGAGUGCAGCCUUUCAGGGAGCGGGAGGGAGAAAUAGUGGCAGGGAUUGAGGGCUCCUGGCUGGGCUUAGGGCUAGAGCAGCUGGCGGCAGUUCAAGCUGCUCCCCGCAGGAUCCUUAGAAAAAUAAAGGGAGAGGAGAUAAUCCACCCCCAAACACACAGAAACAGCUCGCUGAUGAGCCAGACUCGCUCCCCCACCUGCCUGUGCCUGCACUGUAAGGCAAGGCGCAAAGGAGCAGCAGAGCUGCAGGGAAGGCGAGAAGAAGGAGCAGAGGCAGAGAGGCACACUAGAGUCUUGACUUUUUGUUCAGCGGCAAAGAGAAAUCAAAAGGCUGAUGAAAUCCUGAAUCAUAUGACUAGAGGAGACUUGUUUUCCUUCACAUCAGUCAUAUUUAUGCUACAGCAUCAGGCAAUACCAAGUCUUCUUUGAUACCCAAGGCAGCCUUCAUUCUCUAGCCCCAUAAGAGAAGAAAAGGGAGAAAAUAUCAAUUCUUGAUCACUGGAGAUGUUUGUUCAUCAUGUUCUCUGUUCCCUGUGAAUGCAAAAAAUAAGCCUGUUGGAAAGCUCACAGAAGUGUAAUUGACUCUAUGGAGCAGCUGUCAUAGGAGGUUUUACUAUAAGAAAUCAUAUUAGCUUUCCUUUUAAACUUGCUGAAGGUAAUAAGUCAUCCUUGACAUUCACAAGUCAUUCAACAAAAUGUCUUUUUUCCACCAACACAGUAUGCCUGGCAUGUAAUUAAUAUCAGAUUUGUAAAGGGCUCAGAUGCAUGCCAUUUUCAAGGCAACCUGCAAAGCUGAAUGAAAGAAACAGGUUUGUGGGUUUAUUUUUAGCCUAGAACAUUAAUAUACAUACAAAAGCAUUAGUGUUGUUGUUGUUGUUAUUUGGCUGACAUACUGCACAACGGUACAUCAGCCUGGUAAAGUUGCAUACAUGCAAGUUGUGCGAAGGCCAUUAUACAAGAAUAAGCCCACUGGAAAUAAUGGGCUAAUGUUUGUGUAACAUUAUUUGCACAAAUUUUGUAUUUGUGCAGCUUGCAUGCAUGCAAAGUUACUAGGCUGAUUUACCAUUGCAGAGUAUGUCAGCCAAUAUUAAUUGUUAUUGUCGUUAUGGAAGUGGUAAUUUUCAUUCAUCUCCCCUUCCCUCUGAAGUUGACUGUGAAUCCUGAAAAUAAUAUGUCCUUGAUGACUGUGUAACUUUCAGGAACAUAUUGCAGGAGGGCACAGUGGGCUUCUGACGGAAGAGUUGAAGACAAAAAUCAUUUCUUCCCUAUAGUGCUUGCUUCACUUUUGUUACACUAGUGCUUUUCAGUCUGGAUGUUGGCAAUUAUUAUUAUUACUAUCAUUGUUAUUGCUAUUGUUGUUGUAAAAAACAAGAGAGAGAGAGAGUAUACCACUGUAUAUUUUAUGUACCAAAAAGUCAACUGGCAAGUUGAACAGUGGUACUGAGAAAGACAAUGAAAACUGACCAAGCAAUGCUCAUAAAUUGUCCAGAGUAAAUGAAGUCAAAUAGGACACUGGCUUAGAGUAAAAUAAAAAUAAAUAAAUUUCAUUUUAAGGGUGUGAUUAUUAAACUGAGGAAUUGUCUAUUGAUGCUGUGAAGUUCAUGGAUAUUUCCAACAUAUUGGUUGGAAAUUGGUUUUCUUUUUAAUGUCUAUCCCAACUGACUGAGGGCCAAAUUACAUGUGAUAUUAAAUAUUUCAUUAGCCA